GAUGAACGCUGGCGGCGUGCCUAAUACAUGCAAGUCGAGCGAACAGACGAGGAGCUUGCUCCUCUGACGUUAGCGGCGGACGGGUGAGUAACACGUGGAUAACCUACCUAUAAGACUGGGAUAACUUCGGGAAACCGGAGCUAAUACCGGAUAAUAUAUUGAACCGCAUGGUUCAAUAGUAAAAGACGGCUUUGCUGUCACUUCUCGAUGGAUCCGCGCCGCAUUAGCUAGUUGGUAAGGUAACGGCUUACCAAGGCAACGAUGCGUAGCCGACCUGAGAGGGUGAUCGGCCACACUGGAACGGAGACACGGUCCAGACUCCUACGGGAGGCAGCAGUAGGGAAUCUUCCGCAAUGGGCGAAAGCCUGACGGAGCAACGCCGCGUGAGUGAUGAAGGUCUUCGGAUCGUAAAACUCUGUUAUUAGGGAAGAACAAAUGUGUACGUAACUAUGCACGUCUUGACGGUACCUAAUCAGAAAGCCACGGCUAACUACGUG
rnacentral:rRNA from 1 species